GAUGAAGAACGUAGCGAAAUGCGAUAAGUAAUGUGAAUUGCAGAAUUCAGUGAAUCAUCGAAUCUUUAAACGCACAUUGCGCCCCCUGGCAUUCCGGGGGGCAUGCCUGUUCGAGCGUCAUUACAACCCUCAAGCUCUGCUUGGUAUUGGGCUCUGCUGGGACCGGCAGGCCUUAAAAUCAGUGGCGGCGCCACUCGGCUUCAAGCGUAGUAAUUCUUCUCGCUUCGGAGACCCGGGUGCGUGCUAGCCAGCAACCCCCAACUUUCUUAGGUUGACCUCGGAUCAGGUAGGGAUACCCGCUGAACUUAAGCAUAUCAAUAAGCGGAGGA
rnacentral:misc_RNA from 1 species